rnacentral:misc_RNA from 1 species
AAAGUCGUAACAAGGUUUCCGUAGGUGAACCUGCGGAAGGAUCAUUACCGUGGGCUGGAAACAGCCCAUUGAGAUAGCACCCUUUGUUUAUGAGCACCGUUGUUUCCUCGGCGGGCUUGCCCGCCGUUAGGACAUUGAAAACCCCUUUGCAGUAGCAGUACCUUCAGUUAAAAAUAAAUAUUAAAACUUUCAACAACGGAUCUCUUGGUUCUG